rnacentral:lncRNA from 1 species
GUUACAGGCAGGAUGGGUCCAUUUGGGCAGCCCGUGUGAGAUUGGGUCAGUGGUAGCUAGUGAUGCAUGUUUAUGUCUACAGAUAGUUUGUUUUGAUAGCGAUAGUAUAGUAGCAUGUAGCUGUAGAGUUCUUUCCAGCUUUCCUUACUAUCCUUUACUUACCUUACUGUAGACUUAGUAGGUGGGCUGUUGAGGUCGGUGAUGGUACCCACUGAGGACUAUUCUGUUUUGCAGUAGUUCUCACACCCAGUUGUUGCCAUCUUUUUGCAAAGCCUUUGUUU